UACGUAGGGUGCAAGCGUUAAUCGGAAUUACUGGGCGUAAAGCGUGCGCAGGCGGCUUUGCAAGACAGAUGUGAAAUCCCCGGGCUCAACCUGGGAACUGCAUUUGUGACUGCAUGGCUGGAGUGCGGCAGAGGGGGAUGGAAUUCCGCGUGUAGCAGUGAAAUGCGUAGAUAUGCGGAGGAACACCGAUGGCGAAGGCAAUCCCCUGGGCC
rnacentral:rRNA from 1 species